rnacentral:rRNA from 1 species
GACGUAGGGGGCGAGCGUUGUCCGGAAUUAUUGGGCGUAAAGCGCACGUAGGCGGCUUUGUAAGUUAGAGGUGAAAGCCCGAGGCUCAACUCCGGAACUGCCUUUAAGACUGCAUCGCUUGAAUCCAGGAGAGGUGAGUGGAAUUCCGAGUGUAGAGGUGAAAUUCGUAGAUAUUCGGAAGAACACCAGUGGCGAAGGCGGCUCACUGGACUGGUAUUGACGCUGAGGUGCGAAAGCGUGGGGAGCAAACAGG